GCAUAUCAAUAAGCGGAGGAAAAGAAACCAACUGGGAUUGCCUUAGUAACGGCGAGUGAAGCGGCAAUAGCUCAAAUUUGAAAGCUGGCUCCUUCGGAGUCCGCGUUGUAAUUUGUAGAGGAUGCUUCGGCAAGGGCUCCCGUCUAAGUCCCCUGGAACGGGGCGUCACAGAGGGUGAGAAUCCCGUAUGUGAUGGGUUGCCUAAGCCAUGUGAAGCUCCUUCGACGAGUCGAGUUGUUUGGGAAUGCAGCUCUAAAUGGGAGGUAAAUUUCUUCUAAAGCUAAAUACCGGCCAGAGACCGAUAGCGCACAAGUAGAGUGAUCGAAAGAUGAAAAGCACUUUGGAAAGAGAGUUAAAAAGUACGUGAAAUUGUUGAAAGGGAAGCGCUUGCAGCCAGACUUGUCCGCAGUUGCUCAGCCGGUCUCUUGACCGGCGUACUCUUCUGCGGCCAGGCCAGCAUCAGUUCGGGCGGUCGGAUAAAGGUCCUGGGAAUGUAGCUCCCCUCGGGGAGUGUUAUAGCCCAGGGCGCAAUGCGGCCAGCCUGGACUGAGGAUCUCGCUUCGGCUAGGAUGCUGGCGUAAUGGCUGUAAGCGGCCCGUCUUGAAACACGGACCAAGGAGUCUAACAUCUAUGCGAGUGUUUGGGUGUCAAACCCAUGCGCGUAAUGAAAGUGAACGGAGGUGGGAACCCUCACGGGUGCACCAUCGACCGAUCCUGAUGUCUUCGGAUGGAUUUGAGUAAGAGCAUAGCUGUUGGGACCCGAAAGAUGGUGAACUAUGCCUGAAUAGGGUGAAGCCAGAGGAAACUCUGGUGGAGGCUCGCAGCGGUUCUGACGUGCAAAUCGAUCGUCAAAUUUGGGUAUAGGGGCGAAAGACUAAUCGAACCAUUUAU
rnacentral:rRNA from 1 species